GAUAAACGCUAGCGGCAGGCUUAACACAUGCAAGUCGAGGGGCAGCAUAGAUUGUAGCAAUACAAUUGGUGGCGACCGGCGCACGGGUGCGUAACGCGUAUGCAACCUGCCCGUCACAGGGGGAUAAUCCGGAGAAAUCUGGUCUAAUACCCCAUAACAUAUGGAUCGGCAUCGGUUCAUGUUGAAAUUUUCGGAGGUGACGGAUGGGCAUGCGUAGCAUUAGCUUGUUGGUGAGGUAACGGCUCACCAAGGCGACGAUGCUUAGGGGGACUGAGAGGUUUUCCCCCCACACUGGUACUGAGACACGGACCAGACUCCUACGGGAGGCAGCAGUGAGGAAUAUUGGUCAAUGGGCGCAAGCCUGAGCCAGCCAUGCCGCGUGCAGGAUGACGGCUCUAUGAGUUGUAAACUGCUUUUGUACGAGGGUAAAGUGGGUUACGUGUAACCUUUUGAAAGUAUCGUACGAAUAAGGAUCGGCUAACUCCGUGCCAGCAGCCGCGGUAA
rnacentral:rRNA from 1 species